CUUUGCUGCAAGGUUUAUUCGAAACAACUUGCAGCAAAGUAUCUGCGGUUUUUGAGCCUGUUUUGUCCUCAACCUCUACAGAAUGUGAAUUUGCAGUAGCUACUAAGUGGGACAGAAGCAGUGGCACAGGCAAGAUAUCGUGUAACUGGUACCAACUCUUAUUAUUUGUGUUGUAGCCAUGGAUAUUACAUCUGAUAUAACAUCUAUUGUGCAGUGGCUAAGGAGAUCUGCGUCAUGGCUACAUAAACUUUUCAUAUAGCCAUACCACUGCCAAUACCAAUUAUGAGCUCUACAAUAAUGGAGCUAGAUUUCCUGUUAAAAUGGUUAUAUAGAUAAUAUAAAUAUAUUGUAACCCCCUACAUCUUUUUUAAUAGUAGCUUUCCUUUUUACAUGACUUUCGUGGAGGGUAAAUUCCCAUGUAAUAUAAAUAAUUUGCCAGGGCUGUUCAGAAAAAGUGCCUUUUCUUAAUAUAUUCUUAAUAUAUUAAUUUUUCAUUGCUACAGUAGUUAUAACCACAAUGUUCCUUAUAGGAAAGGGUAGAAAGAUAUUAUUAGGGAAAUUCUGGCAAGGUAAUGUUAGUACUGGGGCUUGGGGAAGAGGGAAGGGUGUAAAGUGGAGUUUAUGGAUAUUUUAUGGGAUAAUGUUUGUCUGGGGUGUCCCUGGAGCUCACAAUGACAUGGUUGAAGUUGGUGAGUAUAACUGUGGGAAUAUGAAGGGGACCUUCAUGAUGUUUUAGCGGAUGAUGUCAUCUAGAGUGUUCCUGAAACUCACAAUGACAUGGAUGAAGUUGAAGAUGGUGAGUAUAACUUUUUACUUAUGUACAUUUAUUUAUACAUUUUUGUGUGUGUACUUUAAAUUAAUGUUAUAAUAUUUAUUUUUUUCAUACGCUACCCAUGAGGGAUUACAAGAUCACAGUUGAGAUGGAGCUUCUUCAUGUGACAGAACUGAUCACGGAUGCAAAUUUACAACCUACAGAGGAUGAGGACCAGUUUUUACUCUUCAUUUGGAGCAAAAGAAGAAACAAUAAGAAGACACAGAGGAGCAGUCAGAGAACAGUUUGGAAGACCUUGAGUAUCAGCAGCAAAUAGGAAAUACACAGCCGGCAGGACCAUCAAGACUUUAACAAAUGUAACUUUAACAAAUCUACAUGAUCAGAUUGUAAUUGAAAUAAAAUACUUUUUUUCAAA